rnacentral:rRNA from 1 species
GAUGAACGCUGGCGGCGUGCUUAACACAUGCAAGUCGAACGGUGAAGCAGGAGCUUGCUCUUGUGGAUCAGUGGCGAACGGGUGAGUAACACGUGAGCAACCUGCCCCUGACUCUGGGAUAAGCGCUGGAAACGGCGUCUAAUACUGGAUAUGUGAUGUGACCGCAUGGUCUGCAUCUGGAAAGAAUUUCGGUUGGGGAUGGGCUCGCGGCCUAUCAGCUUGUUGGUGAGGUAAUGGCUCGCCAAGGCGUCGACGGUUAGCCGGCCUGAGAGGGUGACCGGCCACACUGGGACUGAGACACGGCCCAGACUCCUACGGGAGGCAGCAGUGGGGAAUAUUGCACAAUGGGCGGAAGCCUGAUGCAGCAACGCCGCGUGAGGGAUGACGGCCUUCGGGUUGUAAACCUCUUUUAGCAGGGAAGAAGCGAAAGUGACGGUACCUGCAGAAAAAGCACCGGCUAACUACGUGCCAGCAGCCGCCGUAA